UGGGGAAUUUUGGACAAUGGGGGCAACCCUGAUCCAGCCAUGCCGCGUGAGUGAAGAAGGCCUUCGGGUUGUAAAGCUCUUUCGGGCGGAAAGAAAUCGGCGAGGCUAAUACCUUCGCUGGAUGACGGUACCGCAAGAAGAAGCACCGGCUAACUACGUGCCAGCAGCCGCGGUAAUACGUAGGGUGCGAGCGUUAAUCGGAAUUACUGGGCGUAAAGCGUGCGCAGGCGGUUGUGUAAGACAGGUGUGAAAUCCCCGGGCUUAACCUGGGAACUGCGCUUGUGACUGCACGGCUAGAGUACGGCAGAGGGGGGUGGAAUUCCUGGUGUAGCAGUGAAAUGCGUAGAUAUCAGGAGGAACACCGAUGGCGAAGGCAGCCCCCUGGGCCUGUACUGACGCUCAUGCACGAAAGCGUGGGGAGCAAACAGG
rnacentral:rRNA from 1 species